rnacentral:lncRNA from 1 species
AAGGACCUCAAAUCUAAAGACCCUAUGUCUUUAUCACUUAUGGUUUACCAUUUAGAAAUGCAUAUCACUUAAUUAAAUGAAAAGGGGAAUAACUCUCAUAUGGAGUCUCCGUAAAGCUUCGGUCCAAAUGAAUAUCCUAAUCCUGAAGAUGUAACGAGCAAUUUGGUAAAAUAAAUUUGUCGUAAUCUUUAACGGUUGCGAAGGAGUAGUGGCCACAAGAAAAACAGUGUUUGGGGAGAUAACUCUUACAACGUAAAGUAUUUUGUUACGCAGUUGUAAAUUUUUAAAGCGUAUAAACUAUACGAUAUCAUAUUCCAAAUAUCUAAGCGACAUCUUUUGAAACAUCAAUACUACGCAAGAAAAAAAUUAGGCGGAAGAAAAAAAAAAAAAAAUAAUAAAA